CGCGGGAGUCCGGGCGGGCGUUUGCGUUCGCCAACUUGGUCAGGUCCGGAAGGAAGCAGCCACAACGGAUUGCGGCGGGUCGCCCGGCUCCUUUUUUC
rnacentral:SRP_RNA from 1 species